AGUUUUUUGUAUGCUAAUGAAAUACACACAUAUGUAUGUUAUUUUUCUUUUUUUCAACUGGACCAUAAUUCUUCUGGUCUGACACUCAACUGAAGCACUAGGAAGAGGCCACAUGGGAUACAGCAAGAAGAUAGUCUUCUAGAAGCCAGAACAAAAGCCUUCACUAAAAACAGAAUCAGCAGGCACCUUGAUUUGGGACUUCCAGCCUCUGGAACUAACAAUUUAGAAAUUGAUCUGCAGCUGAUGGAGGCUGGGAUGAAUCGGGCCCGUAAGUGAACCCAAAACAUCAGAGCACAGUCAAAACCAAUGCCAAGACUCCAACACCUGGUACAAGAGUCCAAAGGCAAAUUUCCAUAUCUGGCUCCAGCAGAGUGAUGGGUACACAGUUGGUAAUCAUUCUGGGACUUACCUUUAUAGCAAUUAUGUUAAGGAACUGAGGGCUGAAUGGUUUCCACGAUCAGCGGAAAAUAUAACA